rnacentral:tRNA from 1 species
GCCACGGUGGUGUAGCGGUCAGAACGCUAGGCUUGUAAUCCAGAGGUCCUGGGUUCGAUUCCCGGUGGUGCCC